UGGGGAAUAUUGGACAAUGGGGGCAACCCUGAUCCAGCAAUGCCGCGUGUGUGAAGAAGGUCUUCGGAUUGUAAAGCACUUUCGACGGGGACGAUGAUGACGGUACCCGUAGAAGAAGCCCCGGCUAACUUCGUGCCAGCAGCCGCGGUAAUACGAAGGGGGCUAGCGUUGCUCGGAAUGACUGGGCGUAAAGGGCGUGUAGGCGGUUUACACAGUCAGAUGUGAAAUCCCCGGGCUUAACCUGGGAGCUGCAUUUGAUACGUGUAGACUAGAGUGUGAGAGAGGGUUGUGGAAUUCCCAGUGUAGAGGUGAAAUUCGUAGAUAUUGGGAAGAACACCGGUGGCGAAGGCGGCAACCUGGCUCAUGACUGACGCUGAGGCGCGAAAGCGUGGGGAGCAAACAGGAUUAGA
rnacentral:rRNA from 1 species